rnacentral:rRNA from 13 species
ACCCUGUGUGAAUCCGGCGGGACCAUCCGCCAAGGCUAAAUACUCCUGGGAGACCGAUAGUGAACCAGUACCGUGAGGGAAAGGUGAAAAGAACCGUGAAUAACGGAGUGAAAUAGACCCUGAAACCAUACGCCUACAAGCGGUCGGAGCCAAUUUAUUGGUGACGGCGUGCCUUUUGCAUAAUGAGCCUACGAGUUACUUUUACCGGCAAGGUUAAGGCAUUCAGUGCCGCAGCCGCAGCGAAAGCGAGUCUGAACAGGGCGCCAUAGUCG